AUAAAUAAAUAAACUUCUUUUCCUUUCUUUUUUUGGGAAAGAAAGAUAGGAUACUAUUCGAUUUGUUUAUUUUGAAUUAAAAAUAAAUUCAGCUAGAAAUAUAAAGUAAUAGAGCUUCAAACUUGGGAUUUCAUAUAUAUAUCAACCAUCAAAUUUUUUUACAACAUAUGCUAGAGACAAUCGAUAAAUUAAAUAGGCUUGGGCUAAAAUAUAGAAAACUUCCUUAUAAAUAUCUGCUUUUUCACUUUUCUUACUUGACUUUUAAAAAUCUACAUUUUGCCCCCUUAUAAUUUUAAAAAUAUUUUCAAAGGAGUACGACGUUAAUAGAGAGGGUAAAAUAACCAAAUUACUCUUACUUUUUUUAUAAGAAAAAUAAUAAAUUUUUUAAUAUAUUUUUGUUAUUUUUAAGGAUAUUUUUGGUAUAAAUUAUAAAACAUGAACGGAAUUGUGAUGUAACCUAACAGAGGAGGGCUAAAUGUAACAACUUAAAAUAUUUUUUUUUUUUUUGAGAGAUGGGUAGCACGUUACCCGCUUCGUUUAUUUUAUUUAGAAAUAAACUUAGCUGGAAAUGUGAAUCAACUAGGGUUCGAACUUGGGUCUCGGGUACCAACCACCAAACCCUUUGUCACUUGCUCUAGGGACGGUCGGUAGCAACUUAAAAUGUUGAAGAGGUAAAAUAUAAAUUUUUAAAGUAAGA
rnacentral:lncRNA from 1 species